GCUUAGAGAGGGGUCAAUGUCCUAUCAGCUAGUUGGUAAGGUAAUGGCUUACCAAGGCUAAGACGGGUAGCCGGCCUGAGAGGGUGGUCGGCCACACUGGGACUGAGACACUGCCCAGACUCCUACGGGAGGCUGCAGUCGAGAAUCUUUCGCAAUGCCCGAAAGGGUGACGAAGCGACGCCGCGUGUGGGAAGAAGGCCUUCGGGUUGUAAACCACUGUCGGGAGUUAAGAAAUGUAAGGGUGUUAAUAGCAUCCUUACUUGACUAAGGCUCCGGAGGAAGCCACGGCUAAUUCUGUGCCAGCAGCCGCGGUAAUACAGAGGCGGCAAGCGUUGUUCGGAAUUAUUGGGCGUAAAGAGCACGUAGGCGGCUUUGUAAGUCAGUUGUGAAAGCCUUCCGCUUAACGGAAGAACAGCAUCUGAUACUGCAAGGCUAGAGUGCGGAAGGG
rnacentral:rRNA from 1 species